AUGAAAAUCGGACUUAGUGAUCCGGUGGUUCUGCGUGGAAGGGCCAUCGCUCAACGGAUAAAAGCUACCCUGGGGAUAACAGGCUUAUCUCCCCCAAGAGUCCACAUCGACGGGGAGGUUUGGCACCUCGAUGUCGGCUCAUCACAUCCUGGGGCUGUAGUAGGUCCCAAGGGUUGGGCUGUUCGCCCAUUAAAGUGGUACGCGAGCUGGGUUCAGAACGUCGUGAGACAGUUCGGUCCCUAUCCGUCGCAGGCGUAGGAAAUUUGAGAAGACCUGUCCUUAGUACGAGAGGACCGGGAUGGACGUACCUCUGGUGUACCAGUUGUCCUGCCAAGGGCAUGGCUGGGUAGCUAUGUACGGAAUGGAUAAGCGCUGAAAGCAUCUAAGCGCGAAGCCAACUUCAAGAUAAGAUUUCCCACCGCAAGGGUAAGACCCCAGAAAGACUAUCUGGUUGAUAGGUCGAAGGUGUAAGUGCAGCAAUGUAUUUAGCUUAUCGAUACUAAUAGGUCGAGGACUUGACCAAU
rnacentral:rRNA from 1 species